GAUGAACGCUGGCGGCGUGCCUAAUACAUGCAAGUCGAGCGAACAGACGAGGCGCUUGCUCCUCUGACGUUAGCGGCGGACGGGUGAGUAACACGUGGAUAACCUACCUAUAAGACUGGGAUAACUUCGGGAAACCGGAGCUAAUACCGGAUAAUCUCUUGCACCGCAUGGUUCAAUAGUGAAAGUCGGUUUUGCUGUCACUUAUAGAUGGAUCCGCGCCGCAUUAGCUAGUUGGUAAGGUAACGGCUUACCAAGGCAACGAUGCGUAGCCGACCUGAGAGGGUGAUCGGCCACACUGGAGCUGAGACACGGUCCAGACUCCUACGGGAGGCAGCAGUAGGGAAUCUUCCGCAAUGGGCGAGAGCCUGACGGAGCAACGCCGCGUGAGUGAUGAAGGUCUUCGGAUCGUAAAACUCUGUUAUGAGGGAAGAACAAAUGUGUAAGUAACUAUGCACGUCUUGACGGUACCUAAUCAGAAAGCCACGGCUAACUACGUG
rnacentral:rRNA from 1 species